rnacentral:tRNA from 1 species
UGGGGCGUAGCCAAGCGGUAAGGCACGCGGUUCUGGUCCGCGCAUGCGUAGGUUCGAAUCCUACCGCCCCAGCCA